UUAAUAAAUUAUAAAAAGGGAGUGGGACAGAAAUAAUAUUUUCUCAAAAUUUAUUUCGUUGUCAUACCCCGGCAAGGGUGACUAGGUUUGAAAAAAGCUUGAUUCAAGCGCAUUUUCAAAUCAGUCAGCUACUGACAAAAUGAUAAAAUAGGCUGAGACAUUUUAUUUU
rfam:Staphylococcus haemolyticus JCSC1435 DNA, complete genome.